rnacentral:tmRNA from 1 species
GGGGAUGCCAGUCUCGACAAGAGAUUGCCUCUGCUCGUGCCAAACAGAGUUGCUAGAAUCUCUUUAAACUUUUAGCAAAUCAGAAAUGCUAACGCAUCUUCUAAGGGUAGUGUGGCUUCGCCAUAUUACACUCCGGCCUUCGCUUUAGCGUAAUGCCGGCGUCUCUUACUUGAGCGCCUAAACUUGAGUAACGAGGUGUCAUAUUUUUUAGGCUAGGAUUAUAGAUCCGCUUCGGCUAUAGUCUGAAACUUAGAAGCUCGUCUUCACACCAUUUUGCCGACUUUUGAGGGAUGAAGAUUAAAUUUUAAAGUCAGCUAAGUUUGGUAGAAACGCGUUUAGGUACCUUUUACACGUGGGUUCAAUCCCGCCAUCUCCACAA